rnacentral:lncRNA from 1 species
UAAACAAGGGGAAAUUCAUCUAUAAAUGACUUACAAACUACAAAAAUUUGCUCACUUCAGCAGCAUGCAUACUAAAACUGGAAUGCCAGGCACGGUGGCUCAUGCCUGUAAUCCCAGCACUUUGGGAGGCUGAGGCAGGCAGAUCACGUGGUCAGGAGAUCGAGACCAUCCUGGCUAACAUGGUGAAACCCCAUCUCUACUAACAAUACAAAAAUACAAUUAGCCAGGCGUGGUGGUGGGCGCCUGUAGUCCCAGCUACUUGGGAGGCUGAGGUGGGAGAAUGGUGUGAACCCAGGAGGCAGAGCUUGCAGUGAGCCGAGAUCGCACCACCACACUCCAGCCAGCCUGGGUGACACAGUGAGACUCCGUCUCAAAAAUAAAAUAAAAUAAAAUUGGAAUGAUACAGAGAAGAUUAGCAUGGCUCCUUUAAAGUAAAGACGUGGUCCCUGUCCUCAAGGGACUCAGAGCCUAGGAGGGGGCUGAGGCUCAUAUGCAGGACGUACAAAAUUUCCUAGUUCAUUCAGUAAUUCAGCAAAUGCUAAGUGAAUGCCAGGCACUCACAGCGUGGGGUGGGGAGGAGUCAGAAGUGAACAAAGCAAUAUUCUUCCAGAUAAUUGACAUUUGAUCAGGUGAUAACAAAAGCUGAGAGGAAAAAUUGAUUCCUCUUACAGUAGCAGGACCUGAAGCACGAUGAAUGACAUAAGAAAGGUCUCAGUAGAUUGCUGGAGGCAGAGGAGUGACUAGUUCUAGCUGGAGGGUUGGAGAAGAUGUGCUUGAGAUGGGCCUGAAGGGAGGGGAGAACUGGCAGGGUAACAGCAUGUCACUUGGAGGCUCCAGUGGUGGCCAACAGCAAAGGCUAGGAAAAUGGCAACUCCGAGGCCUGCCUGCGUCUGGACAGGAAACUUGUGAUUGAGAGAAUGGGCUCUGAAGCAAACUGCUCAGGGUCAGCUCCCAUCCGUCCACCUCCCCCAGCUGCUAUCUAACCUCUCUGAACCUUAGUUUCCCCACCUAUAAACUAGGGGGGUUUUUUUGUUUUGUUUGUUUGUUUUUUUGAGACAGAGUCUCACUGCCACCCAGGCUGGAGUGCAAUGGCGCAAUCUCGGGUCAC